GUGUGUAUGUAUAUACAGUUAUACAUAAAGAAAUCACUGUAGAAAUAAUUUUUUCUAUUAAUUUUAAUAGUUGGAGAUAUAAAUCACCUCAAAUCAUAUAACAAUUCUUUCAGUAACACAGAUAUUUUGUGACCAUAUGUAAUUCUGAACUUUUUUUCUCCAUAAAGGCAACUGCAAAAUAAUCACUUACAAGUCAUAACACCCUUUAAACAAGAUUUUUUGUCUAGUUUUAUGAGUACAAUAUCCUUUAUUGGGAGACAAUAUUCAGUUACAUGAAGAUGACAAUCUCCCCAAUAGAAACUGAGUCUUCUGGAACUACUGAACUCUCUGUGACAGCCUGUGUACAUGAGCUGGAGGACAUUGUGAUAAGUUUUUACUACCAUCACUAUUAUAGCACAAAUAUUUUUGGGAAAGCUAUUGAAAAAAUGAAAUUCUAAAUGAUAUUUUGGCAAGAUUUAAUCAUGAAAGAUUUAAAUAUUUUUCCUGUUAAUAAUGAAGCUACAUCAUUCAACAGUCAGAAUGUUUGAAUGGCAAGCCAGUGAGCUGAGUUUUCCAUGAAACUUCUAACAAUAUGCAAUCUCAUUGUCAGUCCAUGGGUCAAGCCACACAUGUCUAAAAUUUGGGUUCAGAAAAAUAUCUAAGUUGCCACAAAUAUUUUCCCAGUCAAGAUGAAACACUUUCAAAUGAAAGUAGUUAGAACUUUACAUAACAAAAUGUGGUGCUUUAUUAUUCUUCUUGUUAUUAUUAUUAUUAUUACUAUUAUGUCUUUCAGUGUUCGUUAUUGAAACUACUGCAAUACUGUAUCAUAAAUGUGCAGGAUGACUAUUCCAGCUAUCACAAGGUCCAAAAGAGAAAGUAUUAUUUUCCUGUUAAUGACAUGUAGUCCCUUUGUUCUAGUAGAUAAAAGGUGCCUAGAGGUAGUAUGUAGAGUAAAUAUUGUUCUAUUAGUCUACUUCCUGCAGCUUCCAUUAUCUAAGGAAAUGUCCAUAACAAUUUUGUUUACGAGUCUUUGUUCUAGUCAAUAACAGGAGAUGUCCAUACUACUGGGCUGAUUUUGCUUACAUCUACAAAAGAAAUGUCACGUGAUACUCAGGCCUCGCUUUCUCUUCCAUCAUACAUCUUCAAGGAAUGUCAAUAAACUCACUUUGGUAUGGCACUGAGUAUGUUCCUUAUUGCAAAAAGAAGUCUAUGAUAACACACGAAAAUCUCUAUCAAGCCUGUGCUCUUGGUGAAUAGUGUGAGCAAUAAAACAACACAGAAGAGUACCAACUUCAAGGUCAAAC
rnacentral:lncRNA from 1 species